rnacentral:rRNA from 1 species
CCCUUAGAUGUUCUGGGCUGCACGCGCGCUACACUGAAGCUAUCAACACGUUUUCCCUCCCUGAGAAGGGCGGGUAACCUUUUGAAUCAGCUUCGUGGUAGGGAUCGGGGCUUGCAAUUGUUCCCCGUGAACCAGGAAUUCCUAGUAGACGCGAGUCAUAAGCUCGCAUCGAUUAAGUCCCUGCCCUUUGUACACACCGCCCGUCGCUACUACCGAUUGAACGUUUUAGUGAGGCAUUUGGACCGACGCAUCUCAGUUUAACCGCUGGUUUGUGUUGGAAAGACUUCCAAACUUGAGCGUUUAGAGGAAGUAAAAGUCAUAACA